GAUGAAGAACGUAGUGAAAUGCGAUAAGUAGUGUGAAUUGCAGAAUUCAGUGAAUCAUCGAAUCUUUGAACGCACAUUGCGCCCCUCGGUAUUCCGUGGGGCAUGCCUGUUCGAGCGUCAUUUACCCCUCAAGCACUGCUUGGUGUUGGGCGUCUGUCCCGCUUCGCGCGCGGACUCGCCCCAAAGGUAUUGGCAGCGGUCGUGCCAGCUUCUCGCGCAGCACAUUGCGCUUCUCGAGGCGGUCGAUCGGCGUCCACGAAGCUCACCUCCACCGUUUGACCUCGGAUCAGGUAGGGAUACCCGCUGAACUUAAGCAUAUCAAUAAGGGAGGA
rnacentral:misc_RNA from 1 species